CCCACAGAAGCUCCGGGCUCGCGGCCGCCCCGCACAGCCCGCAUGGACGGGGAGCCUGCAAGGCGCCAGAGGAGGGCCCAGGCCCGGAGGGGACCAGGGCGGCCUGGAAGAUUAUUAAGACACCUCAACCAUGCAGAGCCCACCUGGAGAAGUGCAGGCGUGCUUGGACCCUGCUGCAACGUCCUGAGAGGUGAAAGGGGCCCGAGCUCUUGCCCAAUGGACGGCUCAUCAAGCAUGUCCUACUGGGACCUUUCUAACCAGUGAAUUGUUCACCUCCCAGUGAUUCCUCCCGAUUGAGGUCAAGAGAUUUCUGGAGCCUCUUGUCAUGGUCAGCAACAUCCCAUGAGUGACCAGGAAGUGGGGGUUUCUGUUCUAAGUCCCUCAGGCAAAGACAAAGCAUAUGAGCCUGGCUCUGGGGAAGAAGCAUAAGAGUGUGUCCACCAUGGCUGUGCCCAGAGUGCCAAGGGUUGGCGUGACUGGGGCCAGCUGGAAUUCUAGAAUUUGUAUUUGGUGAGAGUCUCGCCAAAACUCCCAGAAGAGCUCCCCCUGAAGAGAGCUGGUCUACCAGUGAGCCAAGUGGCACGUUCUCGCUAUCUUGCAAGUGACCACACCCUGUCAGGACAAGUGAGGGUCACAGACUGGAGCCAAAGGAAGUCAGUGCUUCAUAGGAGGAUAAGCAAAUCAACCCAGUCAAGAAGAAUACCGAAACACUGCAUGGGAUGUGUCAGAUGUGAAGCUGGUCACCGAGAAUUGAACAAUGUUCCUCCGACAUCUAGUGUUGGCAGCCUAGUGAGGCCACCGACAGGCAAGUGUGUCAUCGCAGUGCUGAGCCUCAGAAGCUUUGAAGCAGAUAUGGGGUGUCAUGGGGACCUUUAAGAAGGAAGUACCAUCUGGGGCAGGGGAGAGAGGCACAUGCGAGAAGGAGACACGCUCUCCAGGGCAGAAGCACUCUGGUGCUCCUGACAGCCGUCCGGUUAAAGAGAAAUUCGUGACCUUGGCAAGUGAAGGCUAGAGUGUUCACGAUGCCGGGUUGCCACCUUGAGCCCCUUCAAGUUUCCAAAUCAUUCGCCAGGAAGCUCCUCCAGAAAGCAAUUGAACUAUGAACCUGGGAGUCAUUUGAUGGGGAUUUUCCCCUCUCAGAAAGGCAGCCAAACAUCCAUAGGAAAAGAUCACCUUUUAAAUAAAAGAAGCACGUUUUACUAUUUGGCAAG